rnacentral:rRNA from 1 species
AUGGAUGUAUCUAGACGUAUUUUAAUUCUAGAUACAUCCAUUUUCAAGACAAGUAAUUCCGAACGGAGAGAGUACAACCCAUUAGAUGAGUAUGUUAUUGAUAUAAUGAUAUUGCUCCUAUUCCUAGAAAGUGCACAAGGAAUACCUCAGAAUUGUCAUUUGGGAACAGAGGCUUGUACUAUUUGUCAGUUCAGUUUUGGAAAGGCCUUUCCUCAAGCCACUGCCGUUGUGGACAACAAAAUAAGACAACAAUUUCCAAUCAACAAUAAUGAGUUGCAUAUGCACAUACAAGGUCUGAAUCAGGACAUGUUUUGA